UAGGGAAUCUUCGGCAAUGGGGGCAACCCUGACCGAGCAACGCCGCGUGAGUGAAGAAGGUUUUCGGAUCGUAAAGCUCUGUUGUAAGAGAAGAACGUGUGUGAGAGUGGAAAGUUCACACAGUGACGGUAACUUACCAGAAAGGGACGGCUAACUACGUGCCGN
rnacentral:rRNA from 1 species